rnacentral:tRNA from 1 species
UACAUUAUGGUGUUUAAGCAUUAAAGAUUUUGAUUCUUUAGGAAUAUAUAGUUUAUUUAAUGUAA